GUGCCAGCAGCCGCGGUAAUACGUAGGUGGCAAGCGUUAUCCGGAAUUAUUGGGCGUAAAGCGCGCGUAGGCGAUUUUUUAAGUCUGAUGUGAAAGCCCACGGCUCAACCGUGGAGGGUCAUUGGAAACUGGAAAACUUGAGUGCAGAAGAGGAAAGUGGAAUUCCAUGUGUAGCGGUGAAAUGCGCAGAGAUAUGGAGGAACACCAGUGGCGAAGGCGACUUUCUNGGUCUGUAACUGACGCUGAUGUGCGAAAGCGUGGGGAUCAAACAGGAUUAGAUAC
rnacentral:rRNA from 1 species